rnacentral:rRNA from 1 species
AUCCGCUCGAAGAUGGGCUCGCGUCCGAUUAGGUAGUUGGUGAGGUAACGGCUCACCAAGCCGACGAUCGGUAGCCGGACUGAGAGGUUGAACGGCCACAUUGGGACUGAGACACGGCCCAGACUCCUACGGGAGGCAGCAGUGGGGGAUAUUGCACAAUGGGGGAAACCCUGAUGCAGCGACGCCGCGUGUGGGAAGACGGUCCUCGGAUUGUAAACCACUGUCCCCAGGGACGAAAAUGACGGUACCUGGGGAGGAAGCUCCGGCUAACUACGUGCCAGCAGCCGCGGUAAUACGUAGGGAGCGAGCGUUGUCCGGAAUUACUGGGUGUAAAGGGAGCGUAGGCGGGGAUGCAAGUUGGGUGUCAAAACUACCGGCUCAACUGGUAAGUCGCACUCAAAACUGCAGCUCUUGAGUGAAGUAGAGGCAGGCGGAAUUCCUAGUGUAGCGGUGAAAUGCGUAGAUAUUAGGAGGAACACCAGUGGCGAAGGCGGCCUGCUGGGCUUUUACUGACGCUGAGGCUCGAAAGUGUGGGGAGCAAACAGGAUUAGAUACCCUGGUAGUCCACACCGUAAACGAUGAUUACUAGGUGUGGGGGGUCUGACCCCUUCCGUGCCGGAGU